rnacentral:rRNA from 1 species
UACGGGGGGGGCAAGCGUUGUUCGGAAUUACUGGGCGUAAGGGGCGCGUAGGCGGCCUGCUAAGUCGGACGUGAAAUCCCUCGGCUCAACCGGGGAACUGCGUCCGAUACUGGUGGGCUCGAAUCCGGGAGAGGGAUGUGGAAUUCCAGGUGUAGCGGUGAAAUGCGUAGAUAUCUGGAGGAACACCGGUGGCGAAGGCGGCAUCCUGGACCGGCAUUGACGCUGAGGCGCGAAAGCCAGGGGAGCAAACGGG